UUCUACUUUAAGUAUUUUAUUUAUAUUUAUUUCCUCCUUUUGCCCUUAUUCUUAAUAUUUUUGAUAUUCUUUUAUUCUGAUGCAAAUACCAUAAGGAGUAGCACCCCCUAAUCUCGUUGUAUCCUCUGGUUUACAAUGACAAUAAAGGCUUUCUGAUUCUGAUUCUGAUUCUGUCCCCGUCUCCUG